GGGGUGAGGGGGAUGGAAGCAACCAGGUAGAGGAGGAGGAGCAUGAGUGCGGCUCAAGUGAGGGUGGAAAGAUCUCUGAGGUGAAGGGAGCUGUGACAGAGGGUGAGGGGAGCAAUCAAGUACUAGCACACAGAUGCUCUGUGCGGUUUAAGCUGGUGUUCAAUAUUUCUUUAAAACAUGCCAACAUUAUAAAUAAAACAUGUUUUUAUUUGGGGGGUGGGAAGAAGCAGCUCUGACUGUUUUAUUUACAGAAGGCGUGGUCCUAGAGGAGUUAGACUGCUCUAGGAUGCUGAUGAGAUGAGGCAUAAUCUCAUCAUGCUCUCCAGCAAAAGGUCUUAGGAAAGACUCUCUAGCUUGCUUGAAGGGGUGUGUGUGUGUGUGUGGAGGGGGGUUUAACAGCCAAUCAGAAAACCCAAUCCAGGUCAUGUGGAGCCUAGGCUAAAGGUGCUUGAAAAUAUAUGGUGGGACAGGAAGUCUUCCUAUUUCCCUCUUCUGGACCUCCAGAAGCAAGCAGACCUUUGGAUUCUACCCCUGAGAUGGAGAAAAGCCAGAGCCAGAGCAGUGAUGAAGGCCUUUUAACAAACCAAUAAUGGAAUAUGCUGAAAAGAUGUUCUUGGUCCCUAAGCACCAGCUAGAAGUUAAAAGAGCCCCCUCCCAAGGAGGAAAAACCUCAGAACAGCUGCAAUCUACACUUCAGACGCUGACAUGCAAGGGGUUGUUUAGAGGUCUGGUUUAACUGGAUAUGAAAAAGUUGAACUUGAUGAGACCCUACUUCAAAAAUGUUUAACCCAUGUGAAGCAAGGAGAAGCAGAGAAGAGACAACUAAACCUGUUUCGGCCCCAGUCUGAGCAGGCCUCUGCUGAAGUUCCUCCAAAAUCUGUUGCCUUCUUCCAAGAGGCCUUGGAUAGUUUGUCUGCAAGGUCUGAAUACUCAGCAAAAAUUAUAUUAAUCAAGCUGAAGCAGAACAUAGAUGUUUCUUUGUGGGAUGAGAAGGGCACCUUUGUGUACAAGGACGAAACCUUUGGUGGCUCCAACAUACUGGAUCUGGUCAAAGCGAUCACUCAAGUUCACAAUCUGCCACCCAACCGCUUCUCUAGAGGCUGCGAUGUUUUUAGGAGGGCCAUGGCUGAAAGAAAUGUUCCAACUUCUGUAGCAGGAAAUCAUACCACCAGAGUGCUUUAGGAUAUCUAAAAACGAGAGUGGUGUGUCUCUGUCACCUAGCACUUAUCGCCAGGUUUCUAAAAAACAAAGAAAAUCUAGCUGGCUCAAAUUUUAAUGUCUUUAUGUUUUUCAGUUGUAAAAUAAAAUUGAUUGC